GGCCAAUGCUAUGGGGGUCCGACUAAGCCAUGCGAGUCAUGGGGCGCGCUCUGCGCGCACCGGCGGACGGCUCAGUAACACGUCGGUAACCUACCCUCGGGAGGGGGAUAACCCCGGGAAACUGGGGCUAAUCCCCCAUAGGCCUGGGGUACUGGAAGGUCCUCAGGCCGAAAGGGUCUUUGACCGCCCGAGGAUGGGCCGGCGGCCGAUUAGGUAGUUGGUGGGGUGACGGCCCACCAAGCCGAAGAUCGGUACGGGCCAUGAGAGUGGGAGCCCGGAGAUGGACACUGAGACACGGGUCCAGGCCCUACGGGGCGCAGCAGGCGCGAAACCUCCGCAAUGCGGGCAACCGCGACGGGGGGACCCCCAGUGCCGUGUCAUCGCCACGGCUUUUCCGGAGUGUAAAAAGCUCCUGGAAUAAGGGCUGGGCAAGGCCGGUGGCAGCCGCCGCGGUAAUACCGGCGGCCCGAGUGGUGGCCGCUAUUAUUGGGCCUAAAGCGUCCGUAGCCGGGCCCGUAAGUCCCAGGCGAAAUCCCACGGCUCAACCGUGGGGCUUGCUGGGGAUACUGCGGGCCUUGGGACCGGGAGAGGCGGGGGGUACCCCUGGGGUAGGGGUGAAAUCCUAUAAUCCCAGGGGGACCGCCAGUGGCGAAGGCGCCCCGCUGGAACGGGUCCGACGGUGAGGGACGAAGGCCAGGGGAGCGAACCGGAUUAGAUACCCGGGUAGUCCUGGCUGUAAAGGAUGCGGGCUUGGUGUCGGGCGAGCUUCGAGCUCGCCCGGUGCCGAAGGGAAGCCGUUAAGCCCGCCGCCUGGGGAGUACGGCCGCAAGGCUGAAACUUAAAGGAAUUGGCGGGGAGCACUACAAGGGUGGAGCGUGCGGUUU
rnacentral:rRNA from 1 species